rnacentral:rRNA from 1 species
CGGAUGAACGCUAGCUACAGGCUUAACACAUGCAAGUCGAGCGGUUGUUGCUUUUGCACAUUCAGCGGCAGACGGGUGAGUAACACGUAUCUAACCUUCCCCUUACUUGGGCAUAGCCUCUGGAAACGGAGAUUAAUUUCCGAUGUGGUGUACAUUUCGCAUGUUUUGCGCACCAAAGAUUUAUCGGUAAGGGAUGGGGAUGCGCUCCAUUAGGUUGUAGGUAGGGUAAUGGCCUACCUAGCCUAUGAUGGAUAGGGGUUCUGAGAGGAAGGUCCCCCACAUUGGAACUGCGACACGGUCCAAACUCCUACGGGAGGCAGCAGUGAGGAAUAUUGGUCAAUGGCCGGAAGGCUGAACCAGCCAAGUAGCGUGCAGGAUGACUGCCUUAUGGGUUGUAAACUGCUUUUUUACGGGAAUAAUUAUGAUCACGUGUGAUUAUUUGCAUGUACCGUAAGAAUAAGGAUCGGCUAACUCCGUG